UUUUACCUCUGUGCUCCUCAUUAGCAAAAUGCCUGGUACUUAGCAGGUGCUCAAAACGUGAUUAAAAGUGAAUGAGAAACGACUGUGUAAUUCAACAAGUGUGAGGCAUUUUCCCUCAAGCUACACCCUCUUGUAAAUCAAAUAGAAGGAAACGUGAAAUGAGUACCUCCUUGUUAUUUUCAGAAGAGUUAAUUCUGCAGAUCUCAGUUUGCUAUUGUUUUGGCUGUUCUAAGGCACUGCUCUCGAUCACUGAAUUGUCAGCCCUUCCAUACUGGGUAGCUUAAUUUCUAGACCACUUCAGCAUCCUAUCUCUCACCCCUGGUAACUCGUAAGUAAUGCCUUUUUUGGUGAAUGGACUUUAUUUUUAUACGUAACCUGCUCCAGCUUUCCUUGGUUGUUUCCCAUUGUUCAUUUCUCUCCCAUAACACUGAAAACAGGGUUUUGGUUUUUUUUUUUUUUUUGCCUUUUGGUACACAAAAGCCAGUCCUGAUCGAGACAAGCUCUAUUUUGUUUUUUAAAUACAUUUUAUUGUGUAUAUUUGAGGUUUACAACAUGGUAGUUUGGGAUGCAUAGAAAUAAUAAAAUGGUUACUGUAGGGAAGCAGAUUUACAUAUCUAUCAUUCUCACACAACUACUUUUUGUGACAAAAGCAGCUAAAAUCUACUUAGUUAACAAAAUCCCUAAUACAAUUUUAUUAACCUUAGUCCUCAUGUUAUACAUUAACACUCUACACUUGUUCAUUCUGCAUAUCUGCUAUUUUGUAUCCUUUGACCUAUAUCUCUGUUUCCUCCUCCUGUUCCCUACCAUGGUCGCCAUGUUUUAUUCUCUGUGUUUUUGAGCUUUUUCUUUUAUAUAUAUUCUACAUAUAAGUGAAAUCACUUUUCUUUCUGUGUCUGGCUUAUAUCAUCUAGUAUAAGGUCUUCCAGGUCCAUCCAUGUUGUGACAAAUAGUAGGAUAUCGUUUUUUAAGGCUGAAUAAUAUUCCAUUAUGUAUAUAUACAUGACAUGUUCUUUAUCCAUUCAUCAACAACUAGGUUGUUCCAUAUCUUGGCUAUUGUGAGUAAUGUUGCAGUGAAUAUGGGAGUGCAGAUAUCUUUAUAAGGUGAUAAUUUCAUCUCCUUUGGGUAUAUACCCAGAAGAGGGAUUACUGGGUCAUAUAGUAGUUCUACUUUUAAUUUCUUUAGGAACCUCUAUACUGUUUUCCAUCAUAGCCCAUACCAAUCUACAUCCCCACUGACAGUGUACUAGGGUUCCCUUUUCUCCACACCCUUGCCAACAUUUAUUAUCUAUUGACAAGCUCUGUUUUGAUUAGCAAAAUAAGGUCUGGGUGAGUCAUGCACCACGGGAAUUAGAGCAUCAAUGUCACCCACAUUUCCCUCCUUAUUUCUAUCCUUUUUCCCUCCUGCUUUAAACAAUUCUCUGACACCGUUGUUCAAAAAAAAUCAUGAAAAAACACCCAAAGUCUUCCAUUAUUUAAUUAAAUUGGAGAUCUCAGAAUGGUCUGGAUUAAUUUAACUGCAGUCUAGUUAAUUGCUAGAUGGAUUGGUGAUAGCCAUAGCCUCAUUACAUUUCCUUUGCUUUAGGAUAAGUGCAAGAAGGCUGCUUCCAGCUCCAAAGCACCUAAGAAUGGAGGUAAAGCGAAGGAUUCAGCAAAGACAACAGAGGAAACUUCCAAGCCAAAAGAUGAUUAAAGAAAUACAAGUUAAGGUAUCUGGUAAGUUGGGUGUUUAUUUGUAAAUGAAGACAACUGUAUCUUCUGCCAAUUUAUGUGUUAUAGAUGAGAGAAGUGAAGUCCACCUCUUGAGUAAUUCAUGCUCACUUUACAGUAUUGGCAUGAAAUGCAUACUGCAAGAUCUACAGAGUAAUUGGUCAUUCUCUGAAAGCACUAAAUGGGAUGAGUUUGCUAUUGAAAUGUUUAAAAACCUUAAUCUUAUAAUUAAAAGCUUUUAAAAAUAUUAGGCCAGGCACUUAGAAUGACCAUCUGAGGCUAGUUGAAUCUUUGAAAUCCAAAUGCUCAUUACUGCAGGUUAUUGUGGCAAAGCAAAAUUAGCAUGUUACAACUUAGCGAAAUGUCCUGAAGAUAUUGGCAUUCCCCAGAAUACCAAUACGUGGUGGGGUGGGGAGAAGUACCCUUUAGAGUCUGGUGGAAAUUACAGGGUUUUGGGAACAAGGGCAAAGGAAAAGAUUGGCCAUUUUUAUUUGUCAUUAUUUUGGAAAGUAAAGUACUGUGUUUGAUUCUAAUUUAUAAUUGCUGAAGAAACUGGACAGAUUGAAGGGAUUUCUGAGAUCUUCAGAUCUGGGCCCUUAUCUUAAUCUUCAGAAAGGAGAGGGCUUAAUGUAAGCCUUAAAAGCAUACAAGCACUUACUGACCAAAGCCUAAAAGAAAUCAAAGUAUAGGUUAAAUCGGGUUCAGCUCUCUCACCAUGAUCCAUGUUUAUUUCCUAGGAAAAAGGAGCUAUAUUAGGUAGAACUGCUCUAACAUUUUUCCCAAAAUUAAAAAAAAUUCUAUUAAUCCACUUUCAUGUUUACUUAUAGGAAACUCCUUCUGUCUGUUAUACAAUGCUUUUGCUAAGUGGUAUUUUUACUAUGUCUGUAACAAGAAAAUUACAUAUUAAAUGAUUCACUGCAUUUUUUAUUUGAAAUUUUUAAGGUAUCUGCAUGUAAAAUCUUCAGCUGGUGGAUGGUGAUUUUUGAAGAACAAAAGGCUUUGGCAACAGAAAACAAUUGUUCUGGGUGAUUUCUAGAAUGGUUUUUGUUGAGUCUCUGAACAUCCUAAAUAUUGGUUUGUUAUUCUUUUCCAGAAAGAAAAUGAAUUUGACUGGUUCACCUGUGUACUGAGUAUUGAUAAACUUUGAAUUUUUUUAAUUGCCUUCAAUUGGGAGAGAAAGCUUUAUAUUUGUAAGAAAUAUAUUUGAUAAAGUUUCUUAAAGCAACACCAAAAAAACAAAAGAAAAGCUAAGUGAAUUUUUGCACAUUCUACACACAGUGCCUGUAAAUCUCAUUUGUAUUUUCAGUUUGCGCUUAAUUUUUUUUGUUAGUGUUUAGAAAACAAUGUUUUAAACAUU
rnacentral:sRNA from 1 species